UACGAAGGGGGCUAGCGUUGCUCGGAAUUACUGGGCGUAAAGGGAGCGUAGGCGGACAGCUAAGUCAGAGGUGAAAGCCCAGGGCUCAACCCUGGAAUUGCCUUUGAUACUGGUUGUCUUGAGUAUGGGAGAGGUGUGUGGAACUCCGAGUGUAGAGGUGAAAUUCGUAGAUAUUCGGAAGAACACCAGUGGCGAAGGCGACACACUGGCCCAUUACUGACGCUGAGGUGCGAAAGCGUGGGGAGCAAACAGG
rnacentral:rRNA from 1 species